AAGGCUUGCAAAACUUUUAUAUACAUCUGCUGAUUGCAACUCAGCCGCUUUAAUUAAGCUAAAGCCUC
rnacentral:tRNA from 1 species